rnacentral:rRNA from 1 species
GUGCCAGCAGCCGCGGUAAUACGGAGGAGGCAAGCGUUAUCCGGAAUUAUUGGGCGUAAAGAGUCCGUAGGUGGGUAACCAAGUCAGUUGUUAAAUAGUGAAGCUUAACUUCAUAGAGGCGACUGAAACUGGUUGUCUAGAGUGUGGUAGGGGUAGAGGGAAUUUCCAGUGUAGCGGUGAAAUGCGUAGAUAUUGGAAAGAACACCGGUGGCGAAAGCGCUCUACUGGGCCUGCACUGACACUGAGGGACGAAAGCUAGGGGAGCGAAAGGGAUUAGAAACCCCCGUAGUCC